UACGUAGGGUGCAAGCGUUGUCCGGAAUUAUUGGGCGUAAAGAGCUCGUAGGCGGUUUGUCGCGUCUGCUGUGAAAACUCGGGGCUUAACUCCGGGCCUGCAGUGGGUACGGGCAGACUAGAGUGCGGUAGGGGAGACUGGAAUUCCUGGUGUAGCGGUGAAAUGCGCAGAUAUCAGGAGGAAGACCGGUGGCGAAGGCGGUCUGCUGGGCAGUUUCUGACACUGAGGCGCGACAGCGUGGGGAGCAAACAGG
rnacentral:rRNA from 1 species